CAAUAGCGUAUAUUAAAGUUGUUGCAGUUAAAAGCUCGUAGUUGGACUUCUGGUUUGGGUGGUGGUCCGCCUAACGGUGUGCACUGUUGCCUUGAGCCUUCUUCCUGUAGUCUCAUUGUGCACUUAAUUGUGUGCUUUGGUGAAUAUGGGACCUUUACUUUGAAAAAUUAGAGUGUUCAAAGCAGGCCUUCGCUUGAAUACAUUAGCAUGGAAUAAUAGAAUAGGACUUUGGUUCUAUUUUGUUGGUUUCUAGGACCGAAGUAAUGAUUAAUAGGGACGGUUGGGGCGAUUAGUAUUUAAUUGUCAGAGGUGAAAUUACUUGGAUUUAUUGAAAGACUAACUACUGCGAAAGCAUUUGCCAAGGAUGUUUUCUAUUAAUCAAGAACGAAAGUUAAGGGGUAGUCGAAGAUGAUCAGAUACCAU
rnacentral:rRNA from 1 species